UGCUGUGGUGCCUCAAGGUCUGAAAGG
rnacentral:piRNA from 1 species